rnacentral:lncRNA from 1 species
GAUGUCCGACCCCGACGAAGUAGCUUCCGCUUGUUGUUUUAUCUUCUGUGAUUUUUCUUUCAAACCUUGUAAACUCUGAUGAUGUUUUAUAACCAAACUAGAUGGUUAAAUUGCUUAAUUUAGUGGACUUGCUGUAUUCUCUGGAACCGCUCACCUUCGUGUGGGUUCGCUAUUCGGUCCUGUUCAAGUGGUUAAAUCGGAUGAAAUCCGACGACCCUUCGUGUUUACUUGGUUAAGGCAUGAGUGUCGC